CUUUGUUGCCAGCGAUUAGGUCGGGAACUCAAAGGAGACUGCCAGUGAUAAACUGGAGGAAGGUGGGGAUGACGUCAAGUCAUCAUGGCCCUUACGACCAGGGCUACACACGUGCUACAAUGGCGCAUACAAAGAGAAGCGACCUCGCGAGAGCAAGCGGACCUCAUAAAGUGCGUCGUAGUCCGGAUUGGAGUCUGCAACUCGACUCCAUGAAGUCGGAAUCGCUAGUAAUCGUGGAUCAGAAUGCCACGGUGAAUACGUUCCCGGGCCUUGUACACACCGCCCGUCACACCAUGGGAGUGGGUUGCAAAAGAAGUAGGUAGCUUAACCUUCGGGAGGGCGCUUACCACUUUGUGAUUCAUGACUGGGGUGAAGUCGUAACAAGGUAACCGUAGGGGAACCUGCGGUUGGAUCACCUCCUUACCUGAAAGAAGC
rnacentral:rRNA from 1 species